GGGGCUAUAGCUCAGCAGGAUAGAGCAGCCGCCUCCUAAGCGGCAGGUCGCAGGUUCGACUCCUGCUAGCCCCACCA
rnacentral:tRNA from 1 species